UUCAGCAAUACAUAAAUCUCUCUCUUUCUCUCUCUCUCUCUGUCUGUCUUUUUUUUAGUGAGCUCUUAUCACCAUAUAUUACUUAAAGAAAUUUCCAUCUUCCCUUCCUUUAAUUUCCCUCCUCUUCCUUUCCUUUUAGAUAAAAAGAACUUUGGGAGUUCCAAGGCUGGGGCCAAGAAAGCAGGUCUGGGCCCUGAGAAGGCAUCCAGAGCUGGUGGAACCUUUGGAGUCGGGAUAAAGAAGAAGAGAACCUUUCUUGGAUGUGAUCAGAGGGACAUGUGCCAGGGGAAGAAAGACACAAACAGAUGGAAGGCUGCUGACAUUAAAGUUGGAGGAAGGGAGUCAUAAACCAAGGAAUGUACGUGGCCUCUAGAAGCUGGAAAAGGUGAGGAAAUGGAUAUUUCUCUAGAGCCUUCAGAAAGAAAUAUGGUCCUACUGGCAUCUUGAUUGCAGCCUAUUGAGGCUCGUAUUGGACUUCUAACAUACAGAACUUUAAGAAAAUAAAUAAGAAAUGCAUAUGCUUUCA
rnacentral:lncRNA from 13 species